GGACCACAGUUGACAGACAUGUACAACAUCUGAACCCUGAAAAAGAUAAAGGAAAGAUCCCAACAGGGGAAAAUGGUCAACUUUGGGAAGUGCCACAGAUGAGGGCUCCGCCUGCAGGAUGACCAGAAGGAUGGUGCCCCACCGCUCUAAAAUAACUGUGGAUUUUUGAAGGUUGGAGGAAGAAGAAUAUAUUGCAUGUACAGCAAAAAGACGUGGCGAAGCUCUCUGCGCUGCAGUGGGUGAGA